CUCUGUGUCAGCAAAAGUUAUUUCGGGAAUGCAUUGUUAACAAACAGGUUAUUUAUAAGUCAAUUUGAGUCCCGAAUCGUUCGUGCUGCAUCAGAAGAUAAUUUAUUCCAUGAGCUUGGGAAGCGGUGGAUUGCAGGAGCAACUAGCUUCCUGUGUUGGACUCGGCCCUGAUGAAAAAAGGAGUAGCUCUACUUCUCAUCUUUGUAGUCGUCAAAAUCAUGGUCUUUGAGGAUUCUGAAACCGUGGGCCAUGGAAGCUGGUUGGGCACUCAAUUAGUGUCAAGUAAAGAUACUUUCUAUGAGGAAUGGAAACUGCAGCUUGUUGCCACUAUGUACAAUACAUGGAAUCUAGACUACUUCGAUUUCUGUAUAUUUGGUCAAGUUCCUCAACAAUUUAAUUUAACUUAACAUCUCUUAUAUGCCAGUUCAGUAGUUUGUACAUAGUCUACUGUGUUUGAGUUUGUUUUCUUUACCUGUCCGUUUGAUGAUUAUGAUUGAUACAACAAAUUCUGGUUUACUGAGUGAACAUAAGAACAGAUUAAUAGUGUUGUAAUAUACUAUUCAACUUAACUAUGAGUUGUAAUGUUACCCCGUUCUAAAAUUUUCAGCUUGCCUGUAAUGUUUAUCCUUUGUGAAUGUUUCUGCUUCAGGAUCAGUCAAUAAGCAUCAACUUGUGACUCACCAUAUGCUGUGUAUUGCUCUACGAGCUGCUUUAGAUGCUUUAGGGAAGCUUGCAAAUUCAAGUGUUUGUUCCUUCCUAGGUUAUUGGUUAAUGUUAUUAUUGUGAAUUUCAGUCUAACCUUGGAUUUAUGACAUUCCAAUGUUUUCCUUCGGGAGAAAGGCAUUAGAGCAGUUUCUGGACCAUCUCAUUCAGUAUCACUGCUCUUUUUUGACCACCUCACUAUUUAUUCCAGCGAGUUGAAGGGUAUAAAGCUGCAACCAAUACUUGCUUCAAUAUUCAAACAUUUAUUUGUUAAACCUAACUUUAGUUCGAUAUUAAGUGUGUCAUUUCAUACUAAAGCCAUCAAUGAAGAACUUCUGCAUAAUCAGUCUGAUGCUCUACACUUGUUUGUACCUGAUAAAAUUGAAGUUGGUCUAGCUUUGUCUAAUUCUGAAGAACACGAUACCAGGAUCUGUGGAAAGAAAUUCUUUUUGAGUCAGAUUACAGAGGUGUGUGCCAAUCCUGUUGCACUUGAGGCUACCGAGAUAAUUCAGCAUAUUCUCGUGUUACUCUUAGUCAAUUUGAAAGCUUCUCUGAGCAUUUAGAUUCAUUCUUGCAAAUGUUAUCUAUUGUUCAACUACUAAUGUGUUUUCCUUGAUAGAUCCUACUGCAUAAAUAGACUAGAUUGUACUUAGUCGAUCUGAAGGUCGAGGGUGGUAGGGGUUGACUGACUUCUUAACUUAAAAGAAGCGGGGGGAAGGGCUGAAGACAGAAGGCACAAGUCUAUUUUUUGCUUUUUGAGCUUGCUUUGCUUGAUCUUCUGCUUCUCUGUUGUUGCGUCUAUAUUUUUCUACUUAUUUAAUUCAUUAUU